AUCCAACUGACGAGUCCCAAAUAGGACGAAACGCGCGUCCAGGAU
rfam:Schistosoma mansoni strain Puerto Rico chromosome 2, complete genome